CAGUCGAGCGAACUGAUUAGAAGCUUGCUUCUAUGACGUUAGCGGCGGACGGGUGAGUAACACGUGGGCAACCUGCCUGUAAGACUGGGAUAACUUCGGGAAACCGAAGCUAAUACCGGAUAGGAUCUUCUCCUUCAUGGGAGAUGAUUGAAAGAUGGUUUCGGCUAUCACUUACAGAUGGGCCCGCGGUGCAUUAGCUAGUUGGUGAGGUAACGGCUCACCAAGGCAACGAUGCAUAGCCGACCUGAGAGGGUGAUCGGCCACACUGGGACUGAGACACGGCCCAGACUCCUACGGGAGGCAGCAGUAGGGAAUCUUCCGCAAUGGACGAAAGUCUGACGGAGCAACGCCGCGUGAGUGAUGAAGGCUUUCGGGUCGUAAAACUCUGUUGUUAGGGAAGAACAAGUACGAGAGUAACUGCUUGUACCUUGACGGUACCUAACCAGAAAGCCACGGCUAACUACGUGCCAGCAGCCGCGGUAAUACGUAGGUGGCAAGCGUUAUCCGGAAUUAUUGGGCGUAAAGCGCGCGCAGGCGGUUUCUUAAGUCUGAUGUGAAAGCCCACGGCUCAACCGUGGAGGGUCAUUGGAAACUGGGGAACUUGAGUGCAGAAGAGAAAAGCGGAAUUCCACGUGUA
rnacentral:rRNA from 2 species